UACGGAAGGCAGCAGUGGGGAAUAUUGGACAAUGGGCGCAAGCCUGAUCCAGCCAUGCCGCGUGUGUGAAGAAGGCCUUUUUGGUUGUAAAGCACUUUAAGCGAGGAGGAGGCUCUCUUAGUUAAUACCUAAGAUGAGUGGACGUUACUCGCAGAAUAAGCACCGGCUAACUCUGUGCCAGCAGCCGCGGUAAUACAGAGGGUGCGAGCGUUAAUCGGAUUUACUGGGCGUAAAGCGUGCGUAGGCGGCUUUUUUAAGUCGGAUGUGAAAUCCCCGAGCUUAACUUGGGAAUUGCAUUCGAUACUGGGAAGCUAGAGUAUGGGAGAGGAUGGUAGAAUUCCAGGUGUAGCGGUGAAAUGCGUAGAGAUCUGGAGGAAUACCGAUGGGCGAAGGCAGCCAUCUGGGCCUAAUACUGACGCUGAGGUACGAAAGCAUGGGGA
rnacentral:rRNA from 1 species